rnacentral:lncRNA from 1 species
GAGAAAUUAAAACCAAUUCGUUUCUUCUAAAUUUUAUAUCUAAUUGCUUGCUCUUUCAAAAUGGGACUCCGACUCCAUCUCCAUCUUGGUCCAAGCAUGAUCGGCUUGUUUUUCUUCGUCAUAAAUAUCAUUUUCGUCUAUGUUCCACCUCCUGUGUCCGCCAAUUAUGAGGAAUAUAAAAACUGCAGCGCCCCGUUUCGUUGUGCUAACAGAGACGAUAUUGGUUAUCCCUUCUGGGGAGGAAAUCGUCCAGAAUAUUGUGGCUACCCGGGAUUUGAGUUGAAUUGCGAGGAAGAUUUUCCUGAGAUGAAAAUCUUAAACAUUACUUACAAAAUCCUGAAGAUCGAUAAAGUGCCGCGGAUUCUCACUGUUGCUAGAGAAGAUUACUGGGACAAAUACUGUCCAUCAAACUUGGUCGAUACUACUCUGAAUUUCUCUCUUUUUAAUUAUGCUCCCGCCACAGGCAACUUGACUCUCUACUACGGCUGUCCUGCCAACUUUAUGAAUGAUAUGUUAGUGAAGCCGUUGCUGGAUCCCUAUGAGUUCCGUUGCAACUCAGAUGAAUCAAACGCCGCAGAUAACUACUAUUACUCCUGGGAAUUUAGUAGUAUCUUCAAUAACAGCUUAAUUGAGGCCGUGAAAGCUUACCUCGGAACGUGUGGGAAGAGCGUUCUGCUGCCUCUGCAGCAACCAACAGUUGAGUAUUUGGUGAAAAAUCCGGCUUCGGAAAAUCUGGAUAGAGCUCUUCGGGAAGGUUUUGGGCUGCAAUGGUUUGCAAAUAAUAGUCUCUGCGACACGUGUGAACAAUCAAAAGGAGAGUGUGCGUAUUCUGCUAGGACGGGUCAAUUCAAUUGUUAUUGCCCUGAUAAAGCUUAUGCCGAUUCCUGUCCACCCCAAGAAGGUAAGUCCGUUCUCCUGAUUGUUCUGUUAGCAUCUCAGUAAGGAUUCCAUCCAUUAGGUUCAAGGUUACUUAGUUUUAAUUUAACCUUACCCAAUAUUCAUUCAGCAAAAAUUCUUGACUUUUCAUUGAAGUUCGGUAAUUGGUUGAGAAUACUCGACUUAAAUUGAAAUGAAAAUUUUCCUUGUAAUUAAGUCAGGUAAAAAGUCGAGUAUACUCGACUUUGGUUGUAUUAUUAUGUAGAAGUCAUGAGAAAGGAAGUAAAUGUAAAUAAAUAAUUUUUUUAGGUUAUUUUUGACUUUUUAUACUUUUAGGAGGUAUAUAUAUGUAAUGUGGUAUAGAUUUGACAUUUAAGGACAAAUGAGAUAUAUUUAAAUAAAAAACCCACAAAACGGAGCCUUGUGAGCUAUGUCUGUUUGGCAAUUCAUAAUUCUCUCUUUUAUUUUUUUUUAAAUUUUUUCCCCCUAUGUCGGCUUUGACCUAUGCGGUGAUCUAGAAUAUGUCAUCAUCAGCCUACCGUGCUAACCUAACCUAGUAACCAUUUAAUAAUUCAUUUGAUGGGAAUUGUUUUUUUUUUCUUUGUAAGUUUUAAAAUAUUAAACAUAGGCAUCAUUUGUUGACUUUAGUUUCGUUCCAAUGCAACAUGUGAGUUCAGGUAUUCAAUAUUCAACUUCAUACUAUGCCUUCUAAUUUUCAAAUUUCCAAAGCCCAUGGGAAAAUAACCAAACGCGCUUCAUACUCGUUUAGGCCAGCGAAUAUCAGCAUUUGCAGCACGUUCCUUGGAGAUCAAAGCUGAAAUUGACCAGCCCACUUUCUUUCCACAGAAGGUUCCCCCCAUUUUCAUCACCCCCACUUCGUCAAAGCGAAAAAAUUAAUAAUUUAGUAUCACAGAGAAUGAGAAAUUAAAACCAAUUCGUUUCUUCUAAAUUUUAUAUCUAAUUGCUUGCUCUUUCAAAAUGGGACUCCGACUCCAUCUCCAUCUUGGUCCAAGCAUGAUCGGCUUGUUUUUCUUCGUCAUAAAUAUCAUUUUCGUCUAUGUUCCACCUCCUGUGUCCGCCAAUUAUGAGGAAUAUAAAAACUGCAGCGCCCCGUUUCGUUGUGCUAACAGAGACGAUAUUGGUUAUCCCUUCUGGGGAGGAAAUCGUCCAGAAUAUUGUGGCUACCCGGGAUUUGAGUUGAAUUGCGAGG